GACGAACGCUGGCGGCGUGCUUAACACAUGCAAGUCGAACGGAAAGGCCCUGCUUUCGUGGGGUGCUCGAGUGGCGAACGGGUGAGUAACACGUGAGUAACCUGCCCUUCACUUUGGGAUAACUUCAGGAAACUGGGCCUAAUACCGGAUCGGAGCUCCUGUAGCAUGGUGGGCGUUGGAAAGUUUCGGCGGUUGGGGAUGGACUCGCGGCUUAUCAGCUUGUUGGUGGGGUAGUGGCUUACCAAGGCUUUGACCGGUAGCCGGCCUGAGAGGGUGACCGGGCACAAUGGGACUGAGAUACGGCGCAGACUCCUACGGGAGGCAGAAGUGGGGAAUAUUGCACAGUGGGCGGAAGCCUGAUGAAGCGACGCCGCGGGCGGGAUGACGGCCUGCGGGUUGUAAACCGCUUUCGCCUGUGACGAAGCGUGAGUGACGGUAAUGGGUAAAGAAGCACCGGCUAACUACGUG
rnacentral:rRNA from 1 species